UUAGUACAGUGUCUAAAUUUUAGGUUGGUGGCACCAGUAAAAGGUAUCGAAAAUGGCCGCUAUAAUAUUUGUAUUCUAGGAUCACCAAUAUGUAUUUAGCCCUUAAUAUGUUUAGUGAAUGUACAGCUGUUGUUGGCAGAAGUUGGAAAAAUGCUGCAAGCUUAUUAUUGACAGUUCAAGAUUUUCCACAUGCAACUGUUGCAGGGAAGAGCGACGCUAUCAGUAAAUUGGAACCAACAGAGAUUGUAAUAUGAUAUUACAAAGUAUCGUCCCGGUCAAGCUUGAAUAGAAGCCAAACAGCAUCGUUUGUUGGCACCGCACGAGAACCAGAGUUUCAUUACGUCAUUUAUAACAAGAAUAAAUUCACAACGAUUG